AGAGAGGUAAGGGACCAGCUCAGGGACCAGCUACACUAUUCACAGCCCUGUGUAAUGUUCUAUAUAAGAGAGGUAAGGGACCAGCUACACUAUUCACAGCCCUGUGUAAUGUUCUAUAUAAGAGAGGUAAGGGACCAGCUACACUAUUCACAGCCCUGUGUAAUGUUCUAUAUAAGAGAGGUAAGGGACCAGCUACACUAUUCACAGCCCUGUGUAAUGUUCUAUAUAAGAGAGGUAAGAGACCAGCUACACUAUUCACAGCCCUGUGUAAUGUUCUAUAUAAGAGAGGUAAGAGACCAGCUACACUAUUCACAGCCCUGUGUAAUGUUCUAUAUAAGAGAGGUAAGGGACCAGCUACACUAUUCACAGCCCUGUGUAAUGUUCUAUAUAAGAGAGGUAAGGGACCAGCUCAGGGACCAGCUACACUAUUCACAGCCCUGUGUAAUGUUCUAUAUAAGAGAGGUAAGGGACCAGCUCAGGGACCAGCUACACUAUUCACAGCCCUGUGUAAUGUUCUAUAUAAGAGAGGUAAGGGACCAGCUCAGGGACCAGCUACACUAUUCACAGCCCUGUGUAAUGUUCUAUAUAAGAGAGGUAAGGGACCAGCUACACUAUUCACAGCCCUGUGUAAUGUUCUAUAUAAGAGAGGUAAGGGACCAGCUACACUAUUCACAGCCCUGUGUAAUGUUCUAUAUAAGAGAGGUAAGGGACCAGCUACACUAUUCA